GGAGACGUGGCAGAGCGGCCGAAUGCACUGGUCUUGAAAACCAGCGAGGGUCAAACCUCCAGGGGUUCAAAUCCCCUCGUCUCCG
rnacentral:tRNA from 1 species